rnacentral:rRNA from 1 species
GCCGGCAGCUAGCUCUCUGCAACUCUCACAUGGUCGCCCACUGAAGCUAAGCAGGGCUGCGCCUGGUCAGUACCUGGAUGGGAGACCACAUGGGAAAGCUAUGUUGCUGUUGGAA